rnacentral:rRNA from 1 species
UCAGUCAAAGAGGGUAAAAACCCCGUAGACGAAAUGUGGAAGACACCUAGGAGGAUCCUGAGUACGGCGGAACACGAGAAAUUCCGUCGGAAUCCGGGAGGACCAUCUCCCAAGGCUAAAUACUCCCUAGUGACCGAUAGUGAACCAGUACCGUGAGGGAAAGGUGAAAAGCACCCCGGAAGGGGAGUGAAAUAGAACCUGAAACCGUGUGCCUACAACAAGUCAAAGCCCGUUAAUGGGUGAUGGCGUGCCUUUUGUAGAAUGAACCGGCGAGUUACGAUUGCAUGCGAGGUUAAGUUGAAGAGACGGAGCCGCAGCGAAAGCGAGUCUGAAUAGGGCGUUUGAGUAUGUAGUCGUAGACCCGAAACCAUGUGAUCUACCCAUGUCCAGGUUGAAGGUGCGGUAAAACGCACUGGAGGACCGAACCCACGUACGUUGAAAAGUGCGGGGAUGAGGUGUGGGUAGCGGAGAAAUUCCAAACGAACUUGGAGAUAGCUGGUUCUCUCCGAAAUAGCUUUAGGGCUAGCCUCGGAAUUGAGAAUGAUGGAGGUAGAGCACUGUUUGGACUAGGGGCCCAUCUCGGGUUACCGAAUUCAGAUAAACUCCGAAUGCCAUUCAUUCAUAUCCGGGAGUCAGACUGUGAGUGAUAAGAUCCAUAGUCGAAAGGGAAACAGCCCAGACCACCAGCUAAGGUCCCAAAAUAUAUGUUAAGUGGAAAAGGAUGUGGGGUUGCACAGACAACUAGG